AUUGAACGCUAGCGGGAUGCUUUACACAUGCAAGUCGAACGAGUGGCGGACGGGUGAGUAAUAUAUCGGAAGUGCCCAGUAGCGGGGGAUAACUACUGGAAACGGUAGCUAAUACCGCAUACUAUCGGAUAACCCAUAUGGGAUUAGCUAGUAGGUGAGGUAAUGGCUCACCUAGGCGACGAUCCCUAGCUGGUCUGAGAGGAUGAUCAUCCACACUGGUACUGAGACACGGCCCAGAAUCCGACGGAGGCAGCAGUGGGGAAUAUUGCACAAUGGGCGCAAGCCUGAUGCAGCCAUGCCGCGUGUAUGAAGAAGACCCGAGGGUUGUAAAGUACUUUCAGGCGUGAGGCGUUACCGACAGAAGAAGCACCGGCUAACUCCGUGCCAGCAGCCGCGGUAAUAC
rnacentral:rRNA from 1 species